rnacentral:rRNA from 1 species
GACGAACGCUGGCGGCGUGCUUAACACAUGCAAGUCGAACGAAGUGGCGAACGGGUGCGUAACGCGUAAUCAACCUGCCCUUCAGAGGGGGACAACAGUUGGAAACGACUGCUAAUAACGCAUACUGAAGUAGGGGCUUGCGUCUGAUUAGCUAGUUGGGGGGGUAACGGCCCACCAAGGCGAGUAUCAGUCGCCUGUCGGAGAGUAUGAACGGCCACAUUUGUACUGAGACACGGCCCAGACUCCUACGGGAGGCAGCAGUGGGGAAUCUUCCGCAAUGGACGAAAGUCUGACGGAGCAACGCCGCGUGAGUGAUGACGGCCUUCGGGUUGUAAAGCUCUGUUAAUCGGGACGCGGUACCGGAAUAGAAAGCCACGGCUAACUACGUGCCAGCAGCCGCGGUAAUAC